CACGAACCGUACGAACGUUAUUCGGAAUUAUUGGGCGUAAAGCGCACGUAGGCGGCUUGUUAAGUCAGGGGUGAAAUCCUGGAGCUCAACUCCAGAACUGCCCUUGAUACUGGCAAGCUUGAGUUCGGGAGAGGUGAGUGGAACUGCGAGUGUAGAGGUGAAAUUCGUAGAUAUUCGCAAGAACACCAGUGGCGAAGGCGGCUCACUGGUCCGGAUCUGACGCUGAGGCGCGAAAGCGUGGGGAGCAAACAGG
rnacentral:rRNA from 1 species